GACGAACGCUGGCGGCGUGCUUAACACAUGCAAGUCGAACGAAAAGAGGGAAAGAGCUUGCUCUUUCCGGAAUUGAGUGGCAAACGGGUGAGUAACACGUAAACAACCUGCCUUCAGGAUGGGGACAACAGACGGAAACUACUGCUAAUACCGAAUGAGUUCCAGGGGCCGCAUUGCCCAUGGAAGGAAAUGUGGCCUCUACCUGUAAGCUAACCCCUGAAGAGGGGUUUGCGCCUGAUUAGCUGGUUGGCGGGGUAAGGGCCCACCAAGGCGAAGAUCAGUAGCCGGGCUGAGAGGAUGAACGGCCAAAAUUGAAUUGAGAAAAGGUCCAGACCCCUAAGGGAGGCAGCAGUGGGGAAUCAUCCGAAAUGGGCGAAAGCCUGACGGAGGAAAGGCGGGUGAGUGAUGACGGCUCUCGGGUUGUAAAAGUCUGUGAUCCGGGAAGAAAAGGCAGAGUGCGAAGAACAAACUGCAUUGACGGUACCGGAAAAGCAAGCCACGGCUAACUACGUG
rnacentral:rRNA from 1 species